CCUACGGGUGGCAGCAGUCGAGAAUCAUUCACAAUGGGGGAAACCCUGAUGGUGCGACGCCGCGUGGGGGAAUGAAGGUCUUCGGAUUGUAAACCCCUGUCAUGUGGGAGCAAAUUAAAAAGAUAGUACCACAAGAGGAAGAGACGGCUAACUCUGUGCCAGCAGCCGCGGUAAUACAGAGGUCUCAAGCGUUGUUCGGAAUCACUGGGCGUAAAGCGUGCGUAGGCUGUUUCGUAAGUCGUGUGUGAAAGGCGCGGACUCAACCCGCGGACGGCACAUGAUACUGCGAGACUAGAGUAAUGGAGGGGGAACCGGAAUGCUCGGUGUAGCAGUGAAAUGCGUAGAUAUCGAGAGGAACACUCGUGGCGAAGGCGGGUUCCUGGACAUUAACUGACGCUGAGGCACGAAGGCCAGGGGAGCGAAAGGGAUUAGAUACCCCGGUAGUC
rnacentral:rRNA from 1 species